rnacentral:rRNA from 1 species
CAUGGAGUUUGAUCCUGGCUCAGGAUGAACGCUAGCGGCAGGCUUAACACAUGCAAGUCGAGGGGUAUAGUUCUUCGGAGCUAGAGACCGGCGCACGGGUGCGUAACGCGUAUGCAAUCUACCUUUUACAGAGGGAUAGCCCAGAGAAAUUUGGAUUAAUACCUCAUAGUAUGUGAGAAUCGCAUGGUUUUACACAUUAAAGUCACAACGGUAAAAGAUGAGCAUGCGUCCCAUUAGCUAGAUGGUAAGGUAACGGCUUACCAUGGCAACGAUGGGUAGGGGUCCUGAGAGGGAGAUCCCCCGACACUGGUACUGAGACACGGACCAGACUCCGUACGGGAGCAGCAGUGAGAAUAUGGACAAGUGGCGCAAGCCUGAUCCCAGCCAUGCCGCGUGCAGGAUGA